CUACGGGUUGCUCCAGUGGGGAAUAUUGGACAAUGGGGGAAACCCUGAUCCAGCAAUGCCGCGUGUGUGAAGAAGGCCUGCGGGUUGUAAAGCACUUUCGGUUGGGAGGACUGCUUCUAGCACUAAUAUUGUUGGAAGUUGACGUUACCUUCAGAAGAAGCACCGGGUAACUCCGUGCCAGCAGCCGCGGUAAUCGGAGGGUGCAAGCGUUAAUCGGAAUUACUGGGCGUAAAGCGCGCGUAGGCGGCUAGAUCAGUCGGGUGUGAAAGCCCCGGGCUUAACCUGGGAACUGCAUCCGAUACUGUUGAGCUUGAGUAUAGGAGAGGAGAGUGGAAUUCCACAUGUAGCGGUGAAAUGCGUAGAUAUGUGGAGGAACACCAAUGGCGAAGGCAGCUCUCUGGCCUGAUACUGACGCUGAGGUGCGAAAGCGUGGGGAGCAAACAGGAUUAGAUACCCCUGUAGUC
rnacentral:rRNA from 1 species